rnacentral:lncRNA from 1 species
AAGAUGCUUUUUUCACUUCAGAGGUCCUUGGUGACUGAUUUCAAUGCAGAUUCAUGGAGAUUCAUCUCAUGUUUAUAGAAACAGGGGCCCAUCCAAGGAAGAAGGAGGAAAAAAUCCUAGAACAGAUAUUUGCUUUUGUUCUUUGCUGAGAAUUUUUGACUGUGGGAAGUUCCAUCUUGCAACUCCCCCAUUUAUCUUUUUGUGCGUGUCCAAUUUAAGAAUACAUAGAGACGAGACUGUGACAAGACAACAAUAAACAGAAACAUACAACUUUGUGACAAGCAUGCUUUGAAAGGAGAAAAUCAGUGUUUUAGGAUCCUUUCUUAAAAAGAAACGUAUGCAGGGAGAAAAUUCAUUAAAACAGUUUCAGUGUACUGCCCCUUUAACUGAAGAAGCUAAGCUGUUGCGAUUAGCCAUCUGAUUGGCUGAGCUGACUUUCUUGUUCCCUAACUUUCCCUGCACCAUACAUGCAGAUA